GCAUGAGCAGAUACCUUUCAUUAUCCUGCUUGUUGUGUGUGUGGUUUUGUUAGAAACCAGCACAUAUGUAGAAGCUCAUCGAGGAGGUUUCUUGAUGGGUGGCAGAAGGCGGAACCCGUGCUGGCGUAUGCGCUGUCCACGUAGAAUGCGCUGUAUCCGCAGAGGAAGGCGUGGUGUCUGUGUGCCGUGGAGAAGACGUCCAUUCUGGCGAUGGAGAGAGUUGUUCGAUUCUGAUUAAUAAUCAAACUCUUGAUGAAUUCCUG